AGACCCUUCUCGAAGCGGUUUUCAUGAAGGAAAUUCACAUUUCGGCCUUUGAUUCUUGGCAAAAAUUUGGCCACAACACGUGCGAACUAACUGGGUUACAAAGACUUAGCUAAAACAUUGUGAGCCCCUAUUUUCCUGACGAUAAGUUUGAUACCUAUAAACGCCAAAAAGUUUUUCUUUUCAUUUAGCUAUAUUUCAAAUUGAGGCCACGGGCUAUUUUUAAAAAA